rnacentral:rRNA from 1 species
UACAGAGGGUGCGAGCGUUAAUCGGAAUUACUGGGCGUAAAGCGCACGUAGGUGGCGACGUAAGUCGGGUGUGAAAGCCCCGGGCUCAACCUGGGAAUUGCAUUCGAGACUGCAUUGCUGGAGUACGGAAGAGGCGAGUGGAAUUCCUGGUGUAGCGGUGAAAUGCGCAGAUAUCAGGAGGAACACCAAUGGCGAAGGCAGCUCGCUGGGACGUGACUGACGCUGAGACGCGAAAGCGUGGGGAGCAAACAGG